rnacentral:rRNA from 1 species
AGUGAACGCUGGCGGUAGGCCUAACACAUGCAAGUCGAACGGCAGCACAGUAAGAGCUUGCUCUUACGGGUGGCGAGUGGCGGACGGGUGAGGAAUACAUCGGAAUCUACUUUUUCGUGGGGGAUAACGUAGGGAAACUUACGCUACUACCGCAUACGACCUACGGGUGGAAGCAGGGGAUCUUCGGACCUUGCGCGUUUGAAUGAGACGAUGUCGGAUUAGCUAGUUGGCGGGGUAAGGGCCCACCAAGGCGACGAUCCGUAGCUGGCCUGAGAGGAUGAUCAGCCACACUGGAACUGAGACACGGUCCAGACUCCUACGGGAGGCAGCAGUGGGGGAUAUUGGACAAUGGGCGCAAGCCUGAUCCAGCCAUACCGCGUGGGUGAAGAAGGCCUUCGGGUUGUAAAGCCCUUUUGUUGGGAAAGAAAAGCAGCAGGUUAAUACCCCGCUGUUCUGACGGUACCCAAAGAAUAAGCACCGGCUAACUUCGUG